GCAUGGAUGGCUCAGUUGGUUAAAGUGUCGUGCUGAUAAUGCCAAGGUUGCAGGUUCGAUCCCUGUAUGGGACAGCUGCA